rnacentral:rRNA from 1 species
CCGGCGCGGGUGAGUAACACGUAUCCAACCUGCCGUCUACUCUUGGACAGCCUUCUGAAAGGAAGAUUAAUACAAGAUGGCAUCAUGAGUCCGCAUGUUCACAUGAUUAAAGGUAUUCCGGUAGACGAUGGGGAUGCGUUCCAUUAGAUAGUAGGCGGGGUAACGGCCCACCUAGUCUUCGAUGGAUAGGGGUUCUGAGAGGAAGGUCCCCCACAUUGGAACUGAGACACGGUCCAA